rnacentral:tRNA from 1 species
GCCCCAGUGGCUUAGUGGCUAUAGAAUCUCUGUUUAUUCAGAGAUACGGUCUAAGCGGCUGACUUGUAAUCAGCAGGUCGCGCGUUCAAUUCGCGCCUGGGGCUCCA